GUUCGACCGCCUUCUCAGCAUGAGAACAGCUAACAUCACUAGAAGAAGAGACUUUGACUGUACUCAAGUCAAAUGUUUGCUUAUGUAAAGAAGCCAAUUCCACCGACAAACCAGUUAAUACUGCUGCUCUGAAAAUUUCAUCUUCCAACAACUGUUUCUGGAUUGCUGAGAUUUCAGCAUGUGUGCAAGGAGCUUUCUUCCUUACGCGACGUAUGUCCUCAGCAUGUAUCAACUGUUGUCUUAUCAUAUCUCCGUGCAAGACCAUGAUAUCAUCCAUAAGAACCUUUCUUUUACUGGCACUCAUCCGAACAGCAGAUCGGGCACGCUUGCUAGAUGUAAUCUCAGAAGGUCGAGGAGUAGCCUUAAGCUUCAGCGCUGAAGAUCUUCUUCCAACAAGUAUAGAAGAGAGCAAAUCAUCAUCAUCGGGAAUAAAUCCUCCAGACUUUUUGGAACGGACCAUCCUUGAAGAUUCAGCUGAGUUGAGACUCUGCUCAGUUAGUGUGCUCUCAGUGUAACUGCGCUUCUUUCCUGAAAUGAAUUUGUCACCAGCCUCCACCUCAUUGAACCCUGCCAAGUAAUCCGGCGUAGCCUCUGGGAAA
rnacentral:misc_RNA from 1 species